rnacentral:lncRNA from 1 species
UUGGUGAAAUGAUAGAGUUUUGAUAUUUGUCCCCGCCCAAAUCUCAUGCUGAAUUGUAAUCCCCAAUGCUAGAGCCGGGGCCUAGGCGGAGGUGUUCGGAUCAUGGGGGCAGAUCCCUCAUGGCUCGGUGCUGUCUUUGUGAUGGUGAAUUUUUGUAACAUCUGGUUGUUUAAAAGUGUGUGGCACCUCCCCGCUCACUCUCUCACUCUGGCUCCUGCUUUCGUUAUGUGAUGUGCCUGCUCCUGCUUUGUCUUUCAUUAUAAAAUAAUGUUAAAAAUAAAGUUUCCGUAAAGGCAAAAUAUAACUAAUGAAUGCUGAAUUAUGGACCAAAUAUAGAAAUCACAAAGGAAAUAUCAGUGAAACCACUCUACAACUUUUGAACUGCUCAGUCCAAUAAAGGUUAUAAAAAUGGAUCACAACAUGGCAAGAGGAGAUUUUCAAAAGAUGUAAUGUUUUACUUUUUUUUUUUUUUGCUGUCAAUCCCAGCCACUAUUGAAAGGAAAGGAUUUAAUAAGGCUACUUGGAGAAAUUAAAUGUGAUCAAGGGAGCUGGGAAAAGGUUUAAUUCCUACCAGUGAAAUCUAGAGGGUGGAAGACCAGCUGAACAAUCGCUUUGCAGAAAAAGCAAACUUACUCCUAUAUUGAAAUUGGACUGAAUUCCUAGAAUUUCUCAGGAUAAAAGAUCCAUUGAUUUUCUUUUGAACCAGAGUAGGACACCCACAGAACUGACAUGUGGUUCCCUUGGGCUCUGUUGACAGGGUUGCCUGGAAAGGGAAAGAACCAGAACAGAAAGAAGUGCAGAUCGCUGCUGGAUGCACAAGGACAGGGGAAGGUGGAAAACCACACGGAAAACGGAGGGUCAAGGAACUUGGAUGGACACCCAGAGAGUAAGGGGAAUCUCCAGGGAACCCACGAAGGUCCCUAUCAGAGAGCCGGCUCUACCACCUGCUAGGUCCACAGUCCGUAAAACCCACUCACAAAACUACCAGGAAAGCAAUAUUUUUUGUUUUUCUGUGUCUUU